rnacentral:rRNA from 1 species
CUGGCUCAGGACGAACGCUGGCGGCGCGCCUAACACAUGCAAGUCGAACGGUUCUGAUUGCGAGACUAAGCUAAUUGGUGGUUCAUAUUGGCUUGGUCUUGUAAUCAGGAUAGUGGCGGACGGGUGAGUAACACGUGAGCAACCUGCCUAACGGAAUGGGAUAGCGUUUGGAAACGAACGGUAAUACCGUAUAACAUAUGCAGUGCGCAUGCACAGCAUAUCAAAGGAGCAAUCCGCCGUUAGACGGGCUCGCGGCCAAUUAGGUAGUUGGUGGGGUAACGGCCCACCAAGCCGACGAUUGGUAGCCGGACUGAGAGGUUGAUCGGCCACAUUGGGACUGAGACACGGCCCAGACUCCUACGGGAGGCAGCAGUGGGGGAUAUUGCACAAUGGAGGAAACUCCUGAUGCAGCGACGCCGCGUGAGGGAAGACGGUCUUCGGAUUGUAAACCUCUGUCUUAGGGGAAGAGUAAAAGACGGUACCCUAGGAGGAAGCCACGGCUAACUACGUGCCAGCCGCUGC